ensembl:lncRNA
UCUGACUACGUCGGUCCUGCCUGACAGCUAGCCGGCUACCUAGCUAGCUGCCGCACUUGGCUGCAAAUGGAUAGCGAGGGGACUCUCUCUCUCUCCUUUCACCUCCCCGGUCUCUCGCAAAUGCUCGCAUAGAAUCGGAGUUACAGCUGGAUGUGGAAAAAAUAACUGAGUUGUUUGGUGGUGGAGCUACAACAGAGGGCAGCUACCCACCGGUGUGUGACAGAAAGGACAUGCCGCCAACGAGACAUAUGAGGCCGGGCAGCUACCCACCGGUGUGUGACAGAAAGGACAUGCCGCCAAC